GUUUUUGAUCUCUCUCUAGAUGUAUUAUAUACCUGUAAGCCCUCACAGUACUAAUAGAAGAAAAUCAGAUAUGGAAACAUUAUCUUGUGGCAGACACUUGUUUGUUGUCACGACCGGCUCAAAGCCGUGACAAAUGGGAAGGAGGACAUAGUCAGGUUGGUAUGUUGCAACAAAGAUAUUUAUUAAUAUAAAUAAAGAACAUAAAAUAAGAAAUCAACAAACCAAAACACGAUUCCGUCAACAAACGAAUGCUCCAAGCAUCCAACAGAACAGAGUUAAACUAAUCAUAACCUCAAAAUAGCCAAAGCAAAACCAAACAGCCGGGAGUUCACCCUCCACACCAAACAGAGCUGACACUAGGGAAGGAACAGGUGUACACAAUUCCGUUGACGAGCCUUCCAACCACACCCACUGACCGGUCUUAGUGGAAGUAACGAGGGACUCGUCACAUUGUACAGAUUAAGUUUCAUUCAUUUAUUAAUUUGAUCGCUUGCAUCUCUAAUAGUAAGAAUCUUCACCUUGUUUAAUUCAAGUCAAGAUAUUAAUAGAGCAUCCACAAUACACACAUGGUUUCAAAGCAGCUUCUAGUAAGCUCUGUUACCUCUACAGUGGUCACCUAAGUCCUAAAUGUGUGAGAAAGAACCUACAGAGUGUGUUUUAUGUUAUCCAUGGAAAGUUACAGCUGUUCAGACUGUGUAACAUUGGAAGAGCAGAGGGAUAUAAGGUGGAGGACAGGAACUCAGCGUUGCUGUACGACUGUCUAACCUGGUGUAAGCUGAUAUCAGCAACAAACACACAAACCACUCAGCCAGGCUUUUAUUUAAAGAGAUUUACAUAUUUUAUUGUAAGUGUGUGUAAAAUGGGUUUCAAUAAGCGCGUGACGUGGACACGCAAAAAAAAGAAAAAAAGAAAUCUGGCUGUUGUUUGAUUUGAUAAGAUAAUAGAGCAUUUUAAAACAAAUACAAUUAAUCAGUUUAAGGGAUGUACACAAUUAUUUUAAAUCAGUCUGAACUAAAUCCAAAAUAAAGGUUAAAAUAAUUAAUUUCUGUCGAAACAACGAAAAAGAAUGAUUCGAGUCAAACUACUACUAUUGCGCAUGCGCUGAUGACCGGAAAUCCACGUGACCUCGUCAGUUCGCGCGCGUGCCAUUAACGAGCUGGAGUCCAGUCUGUGGUGGAGUGCUGCGGUCAGCGUGAUUAAACCGCAGAACAGAUCUCUCUUAACACAGACUUUAAGAAGAAGAGAUGGAUGUGUGCUUCAAGAGAAGGACAGAUCUGAGUCUCUCAGGAGCAGGAGAUGAUGCCCUCGUGCAGGAGAUGAUGCCCUCGUGCAGGAGAUGAUGACCUCGUGCAGGAGAUGAUGACCUCGUGCAGGAGAUGAUGAC